UUUUGCUUUUUAGGGCCACACCCGCGGCACAUGGAGGUUCCCAGGCCAGGGGUCGAAUCAGAGCUACAGCUGCUGGCCACAGUCACAGCCAUAGCAACAUCAGAUCCAAGCUGCGUCUGUGACCUACACCGCGGCUCACGGCAACACCGGAUCCUUAAUCCACCAAGUGGGGGCAGGGAUCGAACCUGUGUCCUCAUGGAUACUAGUUGGCCUUGUUACCGCUGAGCCACAGUGGGAACUCUGGACAAGUAACUGCUUCAAAGAGACUUUCUUCUUAGGAUCUCACCUUUGCUGCAAAGAAAAACCCAAACAGGCUUUGUGAUUUUAGCCUGUUGUCCCCCCUCCCAGCAGCCUCUCAAGGGUUUAUUUUUGAGAUUCAUUUUUCCCCGAGUAGGAAUCAUGCCUUAGAAAACAAGUCAUUAUCAUGCGUUUGUGUUUUAAAUGACCUGGUUUUCUCACUCUGCUCCGUUUAUAAUAUCUUCCGUUCAUUCAUUCCACAAACAGAUGCUCUCCGCCAUCUACAGAGAAUCCUGUUGUGCUGGAGCCAGAAGGGCCGGCUUCGUGGGAGAGCUGGAAACGGACCUGGAACCUCAAGGUUGGGAGAGGGGGAACUCGGGUGAGGACCAAGGGCAGGGCAGGUAGAAAGUGGGCCCGGAAAUUAACACGCCCCCUCCGGUCAAUCAACAAGCACUUCCACGUGGUUCAGGCCCCCUGCUCGGCUCUGGCCUGGAGCCGCAAGCAGGUACAGGUGAUUCCAAUAGCGUGAGCGUGGGAGAAACGCAGGCGUCUAAGGGAAGGGCUCUGGCUCGGAGACGAGGCAGGGCUGCCAGGAAGAGAGUGACAUUGCAGCCGAGACGGGAAGAAGGUGUGGGUGAUGGCUUCAAGCAAAGGGAAUGUCCGUUUUGACAUCCCCACGUCAAGGGAGGGGCUGCAGGAACGUCCAUCCCUUUCCCAGCUCCCCCCAGGCCCGCAGGAGGAAGCCUCAGCUGGGAGCCAGCCCAACACCUCUGACACCGGCCGCCCUGCCUUUGGGCGAAGAGGGAGCCGGCCUCGGGCGCGGAGGCUUCCGCAGGCGCCGGUGUCCAGCUGGGAUUUGCUCACACGUCCUUGCACUGGUGUUUAUGGCAGCCCUCCGUUGACGGAGCUGAAGCCACGAAGAUGUUCCGUGUGGUGUUAUUUACAGCAGGAGGGGAGAAUCGGAAAUAACACAGGGGUCGGCAAUGACUGGACUGUUAAAAUAACUCCCACCACUUCCUUCAUUGGCGUGAACACUGAGGACUAUCAGGUCCCAAGAGAACCAAGGUUUUUUCCUCUUGUUGAAAGAAGAAUCCCUCAGCCCCGAAAAUAACGGCCAGCAUAUAAAGGUGUUUGGUAUGUAUUCUGGGGAUGAAUGAAUAAAUAAUGCUGUGAAAUUAAUUUCCA
rnacentral:lncRNA from 1 species